rnacentral:rRNA from 1 species
ACAUUGCUUUUAGAUUAAAUAUUAAAGGUCAAUCUGCCCAGUGAUUUAAUAUCUUUAUUCAACGGCCGCGGUAUCCUGACCGUGCUAAGGUAGCACAAUAAUGUGCCUCUUAAUUAGGGGAUAGAAUGAAUGAAUCAACAAGAAACAUGCUGUCUCUUAUUAAAUCUUUGAAAUUUAAGUUUAGGUGAAAAUGCCUAAAUCAGUAAUAAAGACAGAAAGACCCUACAAACUUUUACGAUAAUAUCAUAUAAAUAAAUACGUAUUUUACUGGGGCGGUACAAAGAAAUUAACACUUUUAAUAAUAAGAGACAUACCUCAACUAAAAUUAUCUACCUAAAACACAAGUAAGCUACUGUAGGGAUAACAGACUAAUACUUCUCGAGAGCACAAAUCAACAGAAGUGCUUAGUACCUCGAUGUUGGCUUAAGAAUCCCAUUUCAUGCAGCAGUGAAAAAGGGGGGUUUGUUCAACCUUUAAUUUCUUACAUGAU